GCUGGGUGUGGUGGCUUACACCUGUAAUCCCAGCACUUUGGGAGGCUGAGGCGGGAGGAUCACCUGAGGUCAGGAGUUCGAGACCAGCCUGGCCAACAUGGUGAAACCCCGUCUCUA
rfam:Gorilla gorilla gorilla genomic chromosome, chr21, whole genome shotgun sequence